AUGGCUCCUGGAUAUUGGUUUAACCAUUUGAGAGAGAGAAGGAGACGUGGGAGGAGACUUAUUGUUCCGGUUGCCUGUUACACAAUUAAAUUAAAAGAAUGACGUGGACCACUGUUUAAGCGUGUGACAGAAAGUGAGUGUCUAAGCGUUUGUUCUUAGCAUCACUCUAGGUAACAAACCCAUGAUCACAUAGCUAUUCUAGCACACGUUAGCUGCAUAAUCCAACUCCCAAUUCUCUCACAAUUAAUUAGUUGGUAAUUAAAUACGAGCUGCCACUCUUCUUUGAUUUGGAGCAUUUUACCUUUCACGUAAACGAGCCUUUAUUUUCCAAAUCUUAAACAUUCCAUUAUUACUUUAAUCCUUGUGCACUCAAAUUUAGUUCUUCUAAUAGAUGAUCAUUAUAUCCCUCUUUGGUUUCUCGACAUCACAAAGUUUCUCAGCCAUAUUCGUUCUCAAGCUACACAAAUAUCACCCAUUAUUCUCAUCUCCCUCUUUGUAAUUUCCUCACUCAGUGACACGACAUUAUUAUAUUCUAUUGUCCUUUCAAUUUAUUCCAUAAGCUAAUAAAGCACUCCCUAGUGUCUUCUUUGUUCAUAAAUUUGGCUUUAGUUUUUCUCCUUUGUGAGUUACUCUUCACGAUGAUUUAGAGGUCG
rnacentral:lncRNA from 1 species